GAUGAACGCUGGCGGCGUGCUUAACACAUGCAAGUCGAACGAAGCACUUUAUUUGAUUUCCUUCGGGACUGAUUAUUUUGUGACUGAGUGGCGGACGGGUGAGUAACGCGUGGGUAACCUGCCUUGUACAGGGGGAUAACAGUUGGAAACGGCUGCUAAUACCGCAUAAGCGCACAGCAUCGCAUGAUGCAGUGUGAAAAACUCCGGUGGUAUAAGAUGGACCCGCGCUGGAUUAGCUAGUUGGUGAGGUAACGGCCCACCAAGGCGACGAUCCAUAGCCGACCUGAGAGGGUGACCGGCCACAUUGGGACUGAGACACGGCCCAAACUCCUACGGGAGGCAGCAGUGGGGAAUAUUGCACAAUGGGCGAAAGCCUGAUGCAGCGACGCCGCGUGAGCGAAGAAGUAUUUCGGUAUGUAAAGCUCUAUCAGCAGGGAAGAUAAUGACGGUACCUGACUAAGAAGCACCGGCUAAAUACGUG
rnacentral:rRNA from 1 species